CAUUUAAGGGUUGGCAGGGGGAGAUGGGGCUGUUUUGUUGGAGGGCUGUGUGUACUUGAGGCUUUCUGAAGAAAUUCUGCAUCAUUUUAUCCUGUGACGUUAUACGCUUUACUCCAGGAAGGCCCUCACCUUUUUCCUGAAUGGCUUCAGACUUCUAGCCGUUUUCAACAAUUUUACCUGAUAACUAGAUUAUGAUAUCUGUUUGAGACAUCUUAUUUAAACAUGUAAUUUCUUUUUUAGUUCUGCUUUAUUACUUUCAAACACUUUUUAAACUGAAAAAGUUUUAAGUUGGCAAUGAACAUAAGCAUAGAAGGUGCAUUUCUAGAGUUUUCAAUCAGAUAUCUUUUUAUUACUAUAAUGCCUAUUCAUGUUAUUCAUAGGCAAAUAUAAUUUUAUGUGGCUGCAGUCAAGCCUGUGUAAUCCAUUGCAGCUUGCAGAAAUGUGGUAUCUGUGCAUUUAUCUGUUGUUUGUUUAUAGUAUAGAGAAUUCAGCAUGUGUUGUACCAAUUCAUCUUUUUCUGAAGAAUACAUGAAUUAACAAGAUAAAAAGUAACUCUCAUUCUGCAAGAAGGGGGGGCUUGAGGAAAUCAAAACAUGCUUCUUAAAUCACUGAAUUGAUUCAACUCAGUCAAUUAUUAAAACAAAAAAGAAUGCAUCAUUAAACGAUAGUCUCUGUGACUU